rnacentral:lncRNA from 1 species
CUCACGUGCCAUCUCCUCAUUGGUUUAUAGAAACAGGUACCCACGUGCCAUCUCCUCAUUAGUUAUACCCACGUGGGUAAUUGAAAGACGAAAUGUUUUGCCGGUUGUCGUGGUAAAAGUGUAGAUGCCAAUCACCUAUAUCAUUUCAAAGAUGAGAAAGCCUCGAAGGAGGAGAGAUGACUAGAAACGAUUCGGUUGGCCGUUUUAUGUGUGGAUUAAUUGUCGGAGUAGAGGACCUUGUGCAUUUCAGGCAAGUCGGUUAAGAACAAAUUCUUAUUUACAAUGACGACUUAUCCCGGCCAAACCCUAAUGACGCUGGGCCAAUUGUGCGCCGCCCUACGGGUCUUGGGGGCCCUCAUCAAGAUCAUGCAGACAUGCCCUCGCUGUGAGCAUUCCUAUGAAUGGAACAGUCAGCCACAUUAUGGCAAGUAUCCGGCCAGCAACCUUCGGCAACAGCUUUCACAGGCUCAUCAAUUGUACAAAUACAAAAGCAACAGAGGCAAAGGUACAGGACGGCAGGCAGGCUCAGGUCAGGCAGAGGUUGGUAAUCCAGAGGUGGGACAAAGGUACAGGACGGCAGGCAGGGUCAGGUCGGGCAGAGGUUGGUAAUCCAGAGGUGGGACAAAGGUACAGGACGGCAGGCAGGGUCAGGCAAGGGUCAAAACCAGGAGGACGAGAAAAGAGAGAUUUGGGCAAAGCAAGCGUUGAUACAAAACCGCUAGUUGACUUGACAAACAAGAUGAACUGGCAACAGACAAACAGGGAACACAGGUUUAAAUACAGAGGGAAUAAUGGGGAAGAUGGGUGACACCUGGAGGGGGUGGAGACAAUCACAAAGACAGGUGAAACAGAUUAGGGUGUGACACCGGG